rnacentral:rRNA from 1 species
UACGUAGGGGGCAAGCGUUGUCCGGAAUUAUUGGGCGUAAAGAGCUCGUAGGCGGUUUGUCGCGUCUGCUGUGAAAACUCGAGGCUCAACCUCGGGCUUGCAGUGGGUACGGGCAGACUAGAGUGCGGUAGGGGUGACUGGAAUUCCUGGUGUAGCGGUGGAAUGCGCAGAUAUCAGGAGGAACACCGAUGGCGAAGGCAGGUCACUGGGCCGCAACUGACGCUGAGGAGCGAAAGCAUGGGGAGCGAACAGG